CCCAGAUAUGAUUUUUUUUUUUUUUUUAUCAGACCAGAUAUGAAUUUGAUAUGCUGAGAAGUGGUUGUUGUUGAUACUGAAGCUAUAUAUUCUACUGCAGCUUUUGCAACAAACUGUAAAAUGGUACCUCAAUUCGAGUUUUCAAUCCUCACAAGCGAAAACUACUAUAUAAUUGUUGGGUUUGCUGUAACUUCUCUUCUUCCAUGUGGAAACUGGAUAUAACUCUAUGAAAAGUCGCAUAACUUGGUUUCGAAUUAAAAUCCACUUCAUGCAUUAGACAUGGAAAACAAAGGGAAAAAUGUUUGAUCUACCAAGAAGAAGACAAUCCAGUUACAUUCUCAAGUCGCUGUGAAAAUUCAGUUCAUGUAAACUCAUAAUGCUCAAGCCUUUUGGACUGUCUGAAGGUUCUUCAAGAGUGAGCACUCCCUAGACCACUCCUCUCCUAUAUCUCUGAAAACAGAAAGGGAAAAGGGAAAAAAAUGGAAAGCAUUUGUUUCAUUUCUUCUAUGUUCCUUUUGUGUAUCUAAUGAGUUUUACCGGACUAAAAGUUCAUCAAAAUGUUCUAAAGAUUUCUGGAAAUGAUUCGUGCUUAUAUAUGCAGGCUCGUAGCUUACAUGGCUAAGGGUGAUUUCAAGUAUUUAUAUCAAGGUGAACUGACCUUUGGUGGUAUUAAGUCAUCUUCUGAAGAAUUUCUGGAAGAUAAAGCUUUCGAUUCAACCAGUUCCACCAUGAAAGAAAGAUCUUCGACAUCAGAUUCUCAUAAACUCUCAUCAUCUUUGAUUCCAAAUGCGUAGCAUGGUUAAAACUGAAUUGUAAGCAGUAACUUGUAUACAUGUCAUUGCUGCCAUGCAAAAGAAUGGUGCUCCUUCUGUGAGAAUCUGUAAGAGUCUGCCUUUGCAGGCCGUUGUAUACCCUCUAAUUAAUACCCCAUUAAUUCAUUGUUGGAAAAAACAAGUGAACAAGAUAUGAUUACUUAUUACUGUGCAUUUU